rnacentral:rRNA from 1 species
ACGUAGGGAGCAAGCGUUGUCCGGAUUUACUGGGUGUAAAGGGUGCGUAGGCGGUUUGGUAAGUCAGAAGUGAAAUCCAUGGGCUUAACCCAUGAACUGCUUUUGAAACUAUCGAACUUGAGUGAAGUAGAGGUAGGCGGAAUUCCCGGUGUAGCGGUGAAAUGCGUAGAGAUCGGGAGGAACACCAGUGGCGAAGGCGGCCUACUGGGCUUUAACUGACGCUGAGGCACGAAAGCAUGGGUAGCAAACAG